rnacentral:rRNA from 1 species
UGGGGAAUAUUGGACAAUGGGGGCAACCCUGAUCCAGCCAUGCCGCGUGUGUGAAGAAGGCCUUCGGGUUGUAAAGCACUUUAAGUGGGGAGAAAGGCUCCUUGGUUAAUACCCAAGGGGAUUGAUGCCACCCACAGAAUAAGCACCGGCUAACUCUGUGCCAGCAGCCGCGGUAAUACAGAGGGUGCAAGCGUUAAUCGGAAUUACUGGGCGUAAAGCGCGCGUAGGCGGCUGAUUAAGUCGGAUGUGAAAUCCCCGGGCUCAACCUGGGAACUGCAUUCGAUACUGAUCAGCUAGAGUAUGAGAGAGGGAGGUAGAAUUCCACGUGUAGCGGUGAAAUGCGUAGAUAUGUGGAGGAAUACCGGUGGCGAAGGCGGCCUCCUGGCUUAAUACUGACGCUGAGGUGCGAAAGCGUGGGGAGCAAACAGG